GGAGAGUUGUCCGAGCGGCCGAAGGUGCAUGAUUGGAAAUCAUGUGGGCGGGGUUUACUCGUCUCAAGGGUUCGAAUCCCUUACUCUCCG
rnacentral:tRNA from 1 species